rnacentral:rRNA from 1 species
CCUACGGGUGGCAGCAGUCGAGAAUCAUUCACAAUGGGGGAAACCCUGAUGGUGCGACGCCGCGUGGGGGAAUGAAGGUCUUCGGAUUGUAAACCCCUGUCAUGUGGGAGCAAAUUAAAAAGAUAGUACCACAAGAGGAAGAGACGGCUAACUCGGUGCCAGCAGCCGCGGUACUACAGAGGUCUCAAGCGUUGUUCGGAAGCACUGGGCGUAAAGCGUGCGUAGGCUGUUUCGUAAGUCGUGUGUGAAAGGCGCGGGCUCAACCCGCGGACGGCACAUGAUACUGCGAGACUAGAGUAAUGGAGGGGGAACCGGAAUGCUCGGUGUAGCAGUGAAAUGCGUAGAUAUCGAGAGGAACACUCGUGGCGAAGGCGGGUUCCUGGACAUUAACUGACGCUGAGGCACGAAGGCCAGGGGAGCGAAAGGGAUUAGAUACCCCAGUAGUC